GUGUCACUUUAGAAACACAUAUACUAAUGAUCGGAAAGAUAUAGAUAAUAUUAGCAUGGGCCCUGUGCAAUGAAGACAUGCAAAUCUAUGAAAUGUUACACACACAC